rnacentral:rRNA from 1 species
AUGCCAGUUCAACCUCUCAAAUAUGCUCAUAGAAAUAGGAUGUGUGUGCAUGCGUCCAUAUGGUCCAGGCCGUUGCUGGUCCAACCGUCGACGGAGCAGUCGACGCCGGCGACGGCCGACCACAUCAAAGUCUCCUCCUUCGACAAGCCUCUCGCCUUCUCCUCCUCCUCAUCGUUCCACGUCUUCGACCGCGCCAUCCACGAGCCCGCCGAGACCAUCAAGAGGGCGCUGUCCCGCGCUCUGGACCACUUCCGCCUCAUUGCCGGCCGCGUCGUCGUGGGAAACGACGACGGCGAUCUCUGCAUCGCAUGCACCGGCGAGGGCGUCCAGUUCGUGGCCGCCACGGCCAACUGCGCCUUAGUGGACGUCAAGCUCUUCGACCCGCCGUUCGCGGGGCUGCUUAAAGACCUCGCCGUCGAAUACCCGGAGGCCGGCUGCCGCGUGACCGACCCCUUGCUGCUCAUGCAGGUGACCGAGUUUUCCUGCGGCGCGUUCGUCCUUGGGGUCACCUGGAACCACGUCGUCGCCGACGGCACGGGGAUCGCACUGCUCCUGCGGGCAGUGGGCGAGCUCGCGCGCGGGCUGGCUCGGCCGUCCGUCUCCCCGGUCACCUGCGCCGACCAGCUCCUGCCGGACCUCCCGCCGUUGGCCGCCGCUAUAGAGCGCACCAUGGUUGGCCAGCUGAAGCCCAAGGAUUACGCCUACCUCGACAUCACCGUGCCGAUGAGCACCAUCCACCGCAUCAAAGCCGAGCUCGGCGACGAGCUAGGCGCGCCGUGCACCGUAUUCGAGGCGGUCACGGCGGUCAUGUGGCAGUGCCGCUCCCGCGUUAUCAUGCCGGACGACGACCCGGACAACCCGGCGCCGCUCGUGUUCGCGGCCGACGCGCGCAGGGCCGUCGGCGCCGCGGAGGGCUACUACAGCAACUGCGUCACGACCCAGGUAGUCGCGCCGCCUCCGACGAUCCGUGAGGUGGCAGAAGGGGACAUCAAAGACGUGGUUAAGAUGAUCAGGACCGGCAAGGAGCGGAUACCGGCCACCUUCGCCGGAGAAGAAGGAGAAGAAGGCAUGCCACUGCCAUGCGUGGAGGACACGCUGUUCGGGUACAGCGCGCUGUUCGUGACGAGCUGGCGGAACCUGGGCUUCGAGGCGACGGACUUUGGCGGCGGGACGCCGGCGCGGGUUAUGUGCUACGUGGGGCCGGAGUCGCUGCCGGCCUGCGUGGCGUGCCUGCCGUGCAGGGACAAGGGCGGGGCCAACGUCCUCUCCCGCUUUCUCAAGGAGGAGCACGGCGGCGCCUUCCUUGCCGAGCUGGCCAAGUUCACGUGA